AUUGAACGCUGGCGGCAUGCUUUACACAUGCAAGUCGAACGGUACAGGGAGCUUGCUCCGCUGACGAGUGGCGAACGGGUGAGUAAUAUAUCGGUACGUGCCCAGUAAUGGGGGAUAGCCCGGCGAAAGCCGGAUUAAUACCGCACACGACCUACGGGUGAAAGCAGGGGAUCGCAAGACCUUGCGUUAUUUGAGCGGCCGAUAUCAGAUUAGCUAGUUGGUGGGGCAAAAGCCUACCAAGGCGACGAUCUGUAGCUGGUCCGAGAGGACGACCAGCCACACUGGGACUGAGACACGGCCCAGACUCCUACGGGAGGCAGCAGUGGGGAAUUUUGGACAAUGGGCGCAAGCCUGAUCCAGCCAUGCCGCGUGUGGGAAGAAGGCCUUCGGGUUGUAAACCACUUUUGUCAGGGAAGAAACGCUCUGGGCUAAUACCCUGGGGUAAUGACGGUACCUGAAGAAUAAGCACCGGCUAACUACGUGCCAGCCGCCGCAGUAAUAC
rnacentral:rRNA from 1 species